rnacentral:rRNA from 1 species
AAGCGUACACGGUGGAUGCCCUGGCAGUCAGAGGCGAUGAAGGACGUGCUAAUCUGCGAUAAGCGUCGGUGAGGUGAUAUGAACCGUUAUAACCGGCGAUUUCCGAAUGGGGAAACCCAGUGUGUUUCGACACACUAUCAUUAACUGAAUCCAUAGGUUAAUGAGGCGAACCGGGGGAACUGAAACAUCUAAGUACCCCGAGGAAAAGAAAUCAACCGAGAUUCCCCCAGUAGCGGCGAGCGAACGGGGAGGAGCCCAGAGCCUGAAUCAGUGUGUGUGUUAGUGGAAGCGUCUGGAAAGGCGUGCGAUACAGGGUGACAGCCCCGUACACAAAAAUGCACAUAUUGUGAGCUCGAUGAGUAGGGCGGGACACGUGGUAUCCUGUCUGAAUAUGGGGGGACCAUCCUCCAAGGCUAAAUACUCCUGACUGACCGAUAGUGAACCAGUACCGUGAGGGAAAGGCGAAAAGAACCCCGGCGAGGGGAGUGAAAAAGAACCUGAAACCGUGUACGUACAAGCAGUGGGAGCCUCUUAAUGGGGUGACUGCGUACCUUUUGUAUAAUGGGUCAGCGACUUAUAUUCUGUAGCAAGGUUAACCGAAUAGGGGAGCCGAAGGGAAACCGAGUCUUAACUGGGCGUUAAGUUGCAGGGUAUAGACCCGAAACCCGGUGAUCUAGCCAUGGGCAGGUUGAAGGUUGGGUAACACUAACUGGAGGACCGAACCGACUAAUGUUGAAAAAUUAGCGGAUGACUUGUGGCUGGGGGUGAAAGGCCAAUCAAACCGGGAGAUAGCUGGUUCUCCCCGAAAGCUAUUUAGGUAGCGCCUCGUGAAUUCAUCUCCGGGGGUAGAGCACUGUUUCGGCAAGGGGGUCAUCCCGACUUACCAACCCGAUGCAAACUGCGAAUACCGGAGAAUGUUAUCACGGGAGACACACGGCGGGUGCUAACGUCCGUCGUGAAGAGGGAAACAACCCAGACCGCCAGCUAAGGUCCCAAAGUCAUGGUUAAGUGGGAAACGAUGUGGGAAGGCCCAGACAGCCAGGAUGUUGGCUUAGAAGCAGCCAUCAUUUAAAGAAAGCGUAAUAGCUCACUGGUCGAGUCGGCCUGCGCGGAAGAUGUAACGGGGCUAAACCAUGCACCGAAGCUGCGGCAGCGACACUAUGUGUUGUUGGGUAGGGGAGCGUUCUGUAAGCCUGUGAAGGUGGCCUGUGAGGGUUGCUGGAGGUAUCAGAAGUGCGAAUGCUGACAUAAGUAACGAUAAAGCGGGUGAAAAGCCCGCUCGCCGGAAGACCAAGGGUUCCUGUCCAACGUUAAUCGGGGCAGGGUGAGUCGACCCCUAAGGCGAGGCCGAAAGGCGUAGUCGAUGGGAAACAGGUUAAUAUUCCUGUACUUGGUGUUACUGCGAAGGGGGGACGGAGAAGGCUAUGUUGGCCGGGCGACGGUUGUCCCGGUUUAAGCGUGUAGGCUGGUUUUCCAGGCAAAUCCGGAAAACCAAGGCUGAGGCGUGAUGACGAGGCACUACGGUGCUGAAGCGACAAAUGCCCUGCUUCCAGGAAAAGCCUCUAAGCAUCAGGUAACAUCAAAUCGUACCCCAAACCGACACAGGUGGUCAGGUAGAGAAUACCAAGGCGCUUGAGAGAACUCGGGUGAAGGAACUAGGCAAAAUGGUGCCGUAACUUCGGGAGAAGGCACGCUGAUAUGUAGGUGAAGCGACUUGCUCGUGGAGCUGAAAUCAGUCGAAGAUACCAGCUGGCUGCAACUGUUUAUUAAAAACACAGCACUGUGCAAACACGAAAGUGGACGUAUACGGUGUGACGCCUGCCCGGUGCCGGAAGGUUAAUUGAUGGGGUUAGCGGUAACGCGAAGCUCUUGAUCGAAGCCCCGGUAAACGGCGGCCGUAACGAUAACGGUCCUAAGGUAGCGAAAUUCCUUGUCGGGUAAGUUCCGACCUGCACGAAUGGCGUAAUGAUGGCCAGGCUGUCUCCACCCGAGACUCAGUGAAAUUGAACUCGCUGUGAAGAUGCAGUGUACCCGCGGCAAGACGGAAAGACCCCGUGAACCUUUACUAUAGCUUGACACUGAACAUUGAGCCUUGAUGUGUAGGAUAGGUGGGAGGCUUUGAAGUGUGGACGCCAGUCUGCAUGGAGCCGACCUUGAAAUACCACCCUUUAAUGUUUGAUGUUCUAACGUUGGCCCGUAAUCCGGGUUGCGGACAGUGUCUGGUGGGUAGUUUGACUGGGGCGGUCUCCUCCUAAAGAGUAACGGAGGAGCACGAAGGUUGGCUAAUCCUGGUCGGACAUCAGGAGGUUAGUGCAAUGGCAUAAGCCAGCUUGACUGCGAGCGUGACGGCGCGAGCAGGUGCGAAAGCAGGUCAUAGUGAUCCGGUGGUUCUGAAUGGAAGGGCCAUCGCUCAACGGAUAAAAGGUACUCCGGGGAUAACAGGCUGAUACCGCCCAAGAGUUCAUAUCGACGGCGGUGUUUGGCACCUCGAUGUCGGCUCAUCACAUCCUGGGGCUGAAGUAGGUCCCAAGGGUAUGGCUGUUCGCCAUUUAAAGUGGUACGCGAGCUGGGUUUAGAACGUCGUGAGACAGUUCGGUCCCUAUCUGCCGUGGGCGCUGGAGAACUGAGGGGGGCUGCUCCUAGUACGAGAGGACCGGAGUGGACGCAUCACUGGUGUUCGGGUUGUCAUGCCAAUGGCACUGCCCGGUAGCUAAAUGCGGAAGAGAUAAGUGCUGAAAGCAUCUAAGCACGAAACUUGCCCCGAGAUGAGUUCUCCCUGACUCCUUGAGGGUCCUGAAGGAACGUUGAAGACGACGACGUUGAUAGGCCGGGUGUGUAAGCGCAGCGAUGCGUUGAGCUAACCGGUACUAAUGAACCGUGAGGCU